UCAAAUUCUGGCUGUUAUGCUGUCAUUACCCAGCCUGAUGUCACAAUAAAAGCCAUGGCAUUUUUUAGCAAAAACAGGUACAAGUAGGUAGCAAAAGAAAAUUCUCCUUAGAAAACUGGACUCUUCUUUCCUUUGGACAUAUAAAGACAGUCAUUUGUCCAAGUGUCUCUGUAAGCUCCAUUUGGUGAGUUACCAUACCUGGAAACUCUGAUUUGAGACAGUGAGCUGUGUGACCAUUGGAGGAUGAGCAAAUGCCAAGAUCAGAGGCAGAGAAGAAUUCGAGGUCUAUCAACCAGUGAUCUGCCACAGAACUGACCUGAACUGAUCCAAUCACAUGGAGAAGGCUGAAGAAGUACAUAAAUACCAAAAC
rnacentral:lncRNA from 1 species